rnacentral:rRNA from 1 species
GAACAAGGAUUCGUCUGAGGGAAGUUGGGGAAAGUGGCGGACGGGUGAGUAACGCGUGAGCAAUCUGCCUUGGAGUGGGGAAUAACGGCUGGAAACAGCCGCUAAUACCGCAUGAUGCAUUUGGACCGCAUGGUCUGGGUGCCAAAGAUUUAUCGCUCUGAGAUGAGCUCGCGUCUGAUUAGCUGGUUGGCGGGGUAACGGCCCACCAAGGCGACGAUCAGUAGCCGGACUGAGAGGUUGGCCGGCCACAUUGGGACUGAGACACGGCCCAGACUCCUACGGGAGGCAGCAGUGGGGAAUAUUGGGCAAUGGGCGCAAGCCUGACCCAGCAACGCCGCGUGAAGGAAGAAGGCUUUCGGGUUGUAAACUUCUUUUCUGAGGGACGAAGGAAGUGACGGUACCUCAGGAAUAAGCCACGGCUAACUACGUGCCAGCAGCCGCGGUAAUACGUAGGUGGCAAGCGUUAUCCGGAUUUAUUGGGUGUAAAGGGCGUGUAGGCGGGAAUGCAAGUCAGAUGUGAAAACUAUGGGCUUAACCCAUAGCCUGCUUUUGAAACUGUUUUUCUUGAGUGAAGUAGAGGCAAGCGGAAUUCCUAGUGUAGCGGUGAAAUGCGUAGAUAUUAGGAGGAACACCAGUGGCGAAGGCGGCUUACUGGACUGUAACUGACGUUGAGGCUCGAAAGCGUGGGGAGCAAACAGG